rnacentral:rRNA from 1 species
AUGAUUUCUAUAACUGACUUUUCAAAAGCAUUGGAAGCUGCAAAAUAAAUUGCACUUGAGAUGGAUAUUCAUCCAGAGUUCCGCACCAAGCGGAAAAUCAAAAGAAGAAGACAAUUCAAUGAGGGCGCAGAUGAUGCAUCUAUUGUUUCACAAUCUGCUGAGGAGUCAUUAAGGGUCAAUUAUUUUCUGCAAGUGGUCGAUCAAGCUAUAGUUUCACUUACCAGGAGGUUUGAGCAAUAA